rnacentral:rRNA from 1 species
UUAGUGGCGGACGGGUGAGUAACGCGUAGGAACAUGUCCAGGGGUGGGGGAUAACGCUGGGAAACUGGCGCUAAUACCGCAUGAGAGCUGAGGCUCAAAGCCUUCGGGUGCCUUUGGAGUGGCCUGCGUCCGAUUAGCUUGUUGGUGGGGUAAUGGCUUACCAAGGCGUCGAUCGGUAGCUGGUCUGAGAGGACGACCAGCCACACUGGGACUGAGACACG